AUUGAACGCUGGCGGCAGGCCUAACACAUGCAAGUCGAACGAGUGGCGGACGGGUGAGUAAUGUCUGGGAAACUGCCCGAUGGAGGGGGAUAACUAAUGGAAACGGUAGCUAAUACCGCAUACCAUCGGAUGUGCCCAGAUGGGAUUAGCUAGUAGGUGGGGUAAUGGCUCACCUAGGCGAAGAUCCCUAGCUGGCCUGAGAGGAUGACCGGCCACACUGGAACUGAGACACGGUCCAGACUCCUACGGGAGGCAGCAGUGGGGAAUAUUGCACAAUGGGCGCAAGCCUGAUGCAGCCAUGCCGCGUGUGUGAAGAAGGCCUUCGGGUUGUAAAGCUCUUUUAUUGAGGAGGCGUUACUCGCAGAAAAAGCCACGGCUAACUCCGUGCCAGCAGCCGCGGUAAUUC
rnacentral:rRNA from 1 species